AAUAUCAAUUAAAUAUAAAUUUGCAAAUGUCUCUAAAACAGUCGCAAAUUGCAAGUGUCAAACAUCGUGCUUCAUCGUUUUAAAUUAAAUACUUGUCUGUUUAAUGAAGAAUCUUGCAGAAUUUUAUCAAACAAGUCAUGGAUGCAAACGAUGUUAUUUCUUCCUCCGAUGAAAGUUCCUACGAAGAAUUAUUGGCACUGUGGCUCCUAAGACGGUGACGAAGAAGACGUGCAGAAAGAAGAUUUUGUGUUCACCCUCUUUGGAAACGACGGCUAGAACAAGGCGCUCAUGAUAAUCUGUACAUGGAAAUGGUUGUGGUUGAUCCGGAUAUGUUUAGAGCAUAUAUA